rnacentral:rRNA from 1 species
GACGAACGCUGGCGGCGUGCCUAAUACAUGCAAGUCGAACGAGAGCGACCGGUGCUUGCACUGGUCAAUCUAGUGGCGAACGGGUGAGUAACACGUGGGUAACCUGCCCAUCAGAGGGGGAUAACAUCCGGAAACGGAUGCUAAAACCGCAUAGGUCUUCGAGCCGCAUGGCUUGAAGAGGAAAAGAGGCGCAAGCUUCUGCUGAUGGAUGGACCCGCGGUGCAUUAGCUAGUUGGUGAGGUAACGGCUCACCAAGGCCGUGAUGCAUAGCCGACCUGAGAGGGUGAUCGGCCACAUUGGGACUGAGACACGGCCCAAACUCCUACGGGAGGCAGCAGUAGGGAAUCUUCCGCAAUGGACGCAAGUCUGACGGAGCAACGCCGCGUGAGUGAAGAAGGUUUUCGGAUCGUAAAACUCUGUUGUUAGAGAAGAACAAGUGCUAGAGUAACUGUUAGCGCCUUGACGGUAUCUAACCAGAAAGCCACGGCUAACUACGU